GACGUAGGGCGCGAGCGUUGUCCGGAUUUAUUGGGCGUAAAAGAGCUCGUAGGCGGCUUGUUGCGUCGACUGUGAAAACCCGCGGCUUAACUGCGGGCUUGCAGUUGAUACGGGCAGGCUAGAGUUCGGUAGGGGAGACUGGAAUUCCUGGUGUAGCGGUGAAAUGCGCAGAUAUCAGGAGGAACACCUGUGGCGAAAGCGGCUCACUGGACCACUACUGACGCUGAUGCGCGAAAGCUAGGGGAGCAAACAGG
rnacentral:rRNA from 1 species